UACGAAGGGGGCUAGCGUUGCUCGGAAUUACUGGGCGUAAAGGGCUCGUAGGCGGCCAACUAAGUCAUACGUGAAAUCCCUCGGCUUAACCGGGGAACUGCGUCUGAUACUGGAUGGCUUGAGUUCGGGAGAGGGAUGCGGAAUUCCAGGUGUAGCGGUGAAAUGCGUAGAUAUCUGGAGGAACACCGGUGGCGAAGGCGGCCCACUGGUCCGGUACUGACGCUGAGGUGCGAAAGCGUGGGGAGCAAACAGG
rnacentral:rRNA from 1 species